GUGCUCACUUCGGCAGCACAUACACUAAAAGUGGAAAGAUAUGGACAAGACUAGCAUGGCCCCUGAGCAAGGAUGACACGCAAAUUCAUGAAGCAUUUCAUAUUUCU